rnacentral:rRNA from 1 species
UACGUAGGGUGCGAGCGUUGUCCGGAAUUAUUGGGCGUAAAGAGCUUGUAGGCGGUUUGUCGCGUCUGCUGUGAAAUCUCAAGGCUCAACCUUGAGCUUGCAGUGGGUACGGGCAGACUAGAGUGUGGUAGGGGAGACUGGAAUUCCUGGUGUAGCGGUGAAAUGCGCAGAUAUCAGGAGGAACACCGGUGGGCGAAGGCGGUUCUCUGGGCAUUACC